rnacentral:rRNA from 1 species
UCGAGAAUAGUCUACAAUGGUCGAAAGACUGAUAGUGCGACGCCGCGUGAACGAAGAAGCCCUUCGGGGUGUAAAGUUCUUUUAUAUGUGAGCAAUGCCAGAUAGGUGAAUAGUCUGUUUGGAGCGAUAUUAGCAUAUGAAUAAGCAACGGCUAACUCCGUGCCAGCAGCCGCGGUAACACGGGGGUUGCGAGCGUUGUCCGGAAUUACUAGGCGUAAAGGGCAGGUAGGCGGAUAGAUAAGUUUGAUGUUAAAGGCGACGGCUCACCCGUCGUAAGGCAUUAGAUACUGUUUAUCUGGAAUGCGGUUGGGGAAGACAGAAUUCCUGGUGUAGCGGUGGAAUGCGCAGAGAUCAGGAGGAAUACCAAAGGCGAAGGCAGUCUUCUAAGCCGUUAUUGACGCUAAACUGCGAAGGUGUGGGUAUCAAACA